rnacentral:rRNA from 1 species
ACGCUCGACACCUACGGGAUGCAGCAGUUAGGAAUAUUGGGCAAUGGAGGAAACUCUGACCCAGCAACGCCGCGUGAAGGAAGAAGGUUUUCGGAUUGUAAACUUCUGAUCUAGGGGAAGAAGGAAGUGACGGUACCCUAGGAGAAAGCCACGGCUAACUACGUGCCCGCAGCCGCGGUAAUCUGAGCGGGCUGGCAAGGC